rnacentral:rRNA from 1 species
UUUCCGUAGGUGAACCUGCGGAGGAUCAUUAACGAAUUUGGAGGCUGUCGCUGGCUAGGUGGAUUCUAGCAUGUGCACGUCUACAGUUUUAAACACACUUGUGAACCUAUUGUAGAUCGAGUCCAUCGAAAAGUAGUUUCGGGUUGGCUUAUUGAAAAGUAGUGCAAAAACUACCUAAUAGAAAGCUAAGAACUGCCUAAUAGAGGACUGAGUUGGCUCGUCGAAACGUAGUUAAUAGAGAGCUAGUUGGGCUUAUCGAAAAGACUACCUAAUAGAGGGGCCCAGAAGAUCUAUGUUUAAUCUACACCACAUCGUAUGUCCAGAAAACAAAUAAAUUACAACUUUCAGCAAUGGAUCUCUUGGUUCUCGCAUCGAUGAAGAACGCAGCGAAUCGCGAUAAGUAAUGUGAAUUGCAGAUUUUCAGUGAAUCAUCGAAUCUUUGAACGCACCUUGCGCCCCUUGGUAUUCCGAGGGGCAUGCCUGUUUGAGUGUCAUUUUAUGAUCAACUCAUUAGUCUUUGAUUAGGCUUUUGGGCUUGGACUUGGGAAUUGCUGGCUUGAUCUUUACUCAGUCGGCUGUCCUUAAAUGUAUUAGCGAGUGUUAGUCUACAUGGCACGGCCUUUCGACGUGAUAAUGAUCGUCGUGGGCUGGAAGUGUAGUGUCUGGCUUCUAAUCAUUGAUUGCGUGCAUACGGCCCAUAAAGCUGGAAGCGGGAAGCGCAAUAGGCUAUGUGCAUACGGCCCCUUAAAGCUGGAAGGGCAUACUCGGAAAUUGACC